GGAGCAGCACCCGGCUGGCGCUGGCCGGCCGGCGCCGGGGACUUUCUUCCGCCUGGCCAGACAGAUCCCUGUUUUUUGUUUUUCAAAAUUCAGAAAGCAUCUCCGAAUAUUUGCCCAGAGGAGAGUUGUAAGACGUUCAUCGCCGUGUUAUCCUUGAGUAAAGAAUGAACUCUGGAAGCCCAGCCAGGGACAAUGCACCUUCACAGAGAUUCUGCACUAAUCUGAGUGAAGGUCUAAGGUUUGGAAUCUCCCCCUCAUGGAGAGAAGCUUUGUAUGGCUGUCAUGCUUAGACAGUGAUUCCUGCAACUUGACCUUCAGGCUGGGAGAGGUGGAGAGCCAUGCCUGUUCUCCUUCCUUGCUAUGGAAUUUGCUGACACAAUAUCUUCCGCCUGGUGCUGGGCAUAUCCUAAGAACUUACAACUUUCCUGUAUUAUCCUGUGUGAGCAGCUGUCACCUUAUUGGGGGAAAAAUGCCUGAAAAUUAGGGGGCACUUCAAGUAGAUAGCUUCUAUUUCCUAUAUUUGUCUUAUAUACAAGUAUUUGCUUUUAUCAAAAUAAUUCCAAUAAAGCAUUUUAAAGUAAA
rnacentral:lncRNA from 1 species